GCCUAGGUGGUGAAAUUGGUAAACACGCACGGUUGAGGGCCGUGUGCCGCAAGGCUUGCUGGUUCAAGUCCAGUUCUAGGCA
rnacentral:tRNA from 1 species